rnacentral:lncRNA from 1 species
UGAAUCUCUUCUCUUCGAAUUUGAGGAAUGAUUCAGAUGAAGAUGAAUCCCAUUUUAAGGGACACACCCUGCCCAUUCUCUGGGGAAUCUAAAGAUGGAUUAUUGUCUAAUGCUUUAAUGAUACACAAAUGUGUUGUCUCCAAGCCACACUGAAGAAGAAUCAAAUAAGUGUGGCCCCUGCAGAAACCAGAUGGAUCCUAGAGAAUGACUGCAAACUACUACAGACUCAAUCAAGUAGUAAACCUGAUCACAGUUGCAGUGCCAGAUAUGAUAUUGUGCUAAGCAGAUUAACAAGGCUUCAGAAAGACAGGUUCAUGGAAACCAUGGAGUUGCUGCGCCCUGAACCUAUGUGGAAAAGUGGAUCUGUGUGGUGAAUGGAGUAGACAGUAACGGCCAUGAAAAUUUGCCUCUCAGAUUUCUAACCUUGGAAAGCAUAACUGACUGACAGCUCUAGCUGCUGUUCUCUGAAAUCUAUAACUGCACUUGCGCUGAGGUUAUAUUUCUCACCGGUUGCUCCCAGGCAAUGACUGAGUGAGAAAAAAUUGAGAAGAUGGAUGGAUUCAAAAAUUUCCAGGAAGGUAGAGAGGAUGCUGCUCAAGAUUCUCUCAGGAGGAAGCUUCCAUCUGUUCUGAUAGUUUAACUCGCUCUACUCUGUUCCAAAUUUCUUCAUCAAGACUUUGGAGUUUCUACAUAAGCAGGUGGAAGAAACUGCUGGAAGGGAUAAGAAACAUAGCAUCCUCUUCCAAUUGCCUUCUUACUCAUCUGUGAGUUCAUUCACAAUCACAACAGGCAGAGAGAACAAGUCUCCAAGGUCAAGGAUGGCUUUGGCAGUGAGGAUAUUUCUCUUUCCAGACUCCUAGACUGUCCUCAAUGUUCAGGGUCAAACUUUCUGGUUUCAUAGAGAAGUUACUAUUUUUGGUCUACAGAGGUAGUUUGGGGUGGC